rnacentral:tRNA from 1 species
AGCGGGAUAGAGAAGAGGCAUCUCGCAAGGCUCAUAACCUUGAGACCCACGUUCGAUUCGUGGUCCCGCAA